AUACGUUCCCGGGCCUUGUACACACCGCCCGUCACACCAUGAGAGUUGGCAAUACCCAAAGUUCGUGAGCUAACGCGUAAGCGGGGCAGCGACCUAAGGUAGGGUCAGCGAUUGGGGUGAAGUCGUAACAAGGUAGCCGUAGGAGAACCUGCGGCUGGAUCACCUCCUUUCUA
rnacentral:rRNA from 1 species